UUUUUAUUUUUUUGUUUACCAUUCAAAAAGGGCAGUUUAAUUGUAAUUUUAAGAAUAGAUGUUUAAACAGUGCUGAAAACACUGAAAUUGAUUUAACGGAUAAAAAGCCCACUGAAAAUCUGUUAGGUAAACCAAUGCAGUUGCGCUUCGAUGCUUUUCGAAAACGAAAAUUAAAAAUUGUGAAAGUUCCAAUGUCACAAUCUACUAGAAAGUCAUAGGUAAAGUAAGUGAAAGUUUUGGUUUCUCUUGCACUUCUCCUUUACGUUAGGUACAGGACCUCAAUAUGAAGGCAUGUGGAGUCAUACGGGUCCCACCCAUGGCUUUCUUUGCGAGACAAAAUCAGCAGAGAGAAAUCAGUGAAUUUUAAGAAUAGCAACUUAAACGUAGAUUGGAAGCUACACUGAAAAACCACCAGAAAAGAAAAUUCAAGCAAAUAAAGGAACCACCGUAGAGGAAGACAAAAUAACAACUGAUGCAGCCAGAAUCGCAGUCCUUUUUGCUGUGGAAAAGGCAUGAAGAAACGGAAAGGGGUUAAACUAAUUGAAACCAGAAAUCUCUUUCUACUUACGUUUAUUUUUGUUUAUUUCCUUUCAUUCUUACAUUUUCCCCUUAGGUGUAAAGAAAAAAGACAUGAGGAGGCACCUUUAAAAUCUAGAAAAGACCAAUUUAAAAAAGGGGCCUCAAAAAGUAUACAAGACCAGAUAAAAGUUCUUGAAAAAACCGACGCUCACUUGAUUUUGACAUUGUAAAGGCAACUGAUGCAGCCCUAGAAACAGCCGAAGCUGCAGAAACAAAUUCUGUGGAAUUAUUUGAAGAUUGGGAGAUUGAACCAAUAUGCCAGUUGUUGGCGUAAGGAAAAUGGCAUAGAAAAUCAACUGCAAGAGUUCUAGAAAAUACAAUUAAAAAUACCUUUAUCUCAAAAACUAAAAAAUACCAAGAAAAAAUAGACCGAGUCUGUUUCCGUUUUUACGUAAUACGUACAUACGGACCUCCCACGUUUCAAAUUUUUGAAACAGCAACGAUGAAAACUACUUGCAGUGUACUGAAUAUCCAACAACGAUAAUUACCUCUAAAUAAAAGCACUACUGCUUUUUUCAAGUAUUGUUUUGCAUGGGGUUGAAAUUCGAACCACCAACGAUCGGUUUGAAAUAAAAAAAAACGAUAGAAAAAUAAAGCAUAAUAAAUAAUCUAUUCUAUUCUG